rnacentral:rRNA from 1 species
AUUGAAUGCUGGCGGCAUGCCUUACACACGCAAGUCGAGCGGUAACGCGGGGCAACCUGGCGACGAGUGGCGAACGGGUGAGUAAUAUAUCGGAACGUGCCCAGUAGUGGGGGAUAGCCCGGCGAAAGCCGGAUUAAUACCGCAUGAGACCUGAGGGUGAAAGCGGGGGAUCGCAAGACCUCGCGCUAUUGGAGCGGCCGAUAUAAGAUUAGCUAGUUGGUGGGGUAGAGGCCUACCAAGGCAACGAUCUGUAGUUGGUCUGAGAGGACGACCAGCCACACUGGGACUGAGACACGGCCCAGACUCCUACGGGAGGCAGCAGUGGGGAAUUUUGGACAAUGGGCGCAAGCCUGAUCCAGCAAUGCCGCGUGCAGGAAGAAGGCCUUCGGGUUGUAAACUGCUUUUGUCAGGGAAGAAAUCUUCUGGGUUAAUACCUCGGGAGGAUGACGGUACCUGAAGAAUAAGCACCGGCUAACUACGUGCCAGCCGCCGCGGUAACAC